rnacentral:rRNA from 1 species
AACGAACGCUGGCGGCAUGCCUAACACAUGCAAGUCGAACGAGACCUUCGGGUCUAGUGGCGCACGGGUGCGUAACGCGUGGGAACCUGCCCUUAGGUUCGGAAUAACUCCCCGAAAGGGGUGCUAAUACCGGAUAAUGUCUUCGGACCAAAGAUUUAUCGCCUUUGGAUGGGCCCGCGUUGGAUUAGCUAGUUGGUAGGGUAAAAGCCUACCAAGGCGACGAUCCAUAGCUGGUCUGAGAGGAUGAUCAGCUACACUGGGACUGAGACACGGCCCAGACUCCUACGGGAGGCAGCAGUGGGGAAUAUUGGACAAGGGGCGAAAGCCUGAUCAAGCAAUGCCGCGUGAGUGAUGAAGGCCUUAGGGUUGUAAAGCUCUUUUACCCGGGAUGAUAAUGACAGUACCGGGAGAAUAAGCACCGGCUAACUCCGUG